rnacentral:lncRNA from 1 species
ACCCACCCAACACAGACAGCCCUGGGCUUUCCGCUGGAGAGGAGAAGAGGUUGCUCAUACCAUGCUAUGCUUUUGAGUGGAGGACAAGGAGCCUGUGGCUGACCUGCAGGGUAACUGCAAUAAAAAAGGAAGAAGAAAGGAAGAUGUAUCACUGGGGGAUGGAACUCAGCUUCAAAGAGGUAUUCCCUGCAGGAUCUGUGGGUGGAGGGAUUCCUUUGGCAAUGCGGCUGUUCCCAGCUGGCAGCAAGAGCCAGCAAACACCUCUGGAGGGACGGGAGAUGUGCUGCCCCAGCCAACACUGAGACUGCAACCUCACCUACACAGGCCUUCAGCUGUGACGCUGUUCUGCUGGAGCUGCUGUUGGAGAUCAGCAGUAUCAAAAAAAGGACAAUGAAAUCAGAUUUAGACAAAUCUUAUUAGCUACUAUUUAAUUUGUUAGUUUAUUGUGUCUGGUACCAUACAUGUGAGCCAGAAGAGUAGAGCGUGUUUUCAAGUGAGAAGCUCAUGCAGGACUGACACAAUUGUUGAACAUGGCUUUUAAUAGAAAUACAAUUAGAAAGAAGUUUAAUGAAUACAAAUCCUUUCUUAAAUGUUGCUACAAAGUAUGCUGACUUAACUAUAGAUAAAUCAUACAUAUAUGUACUUUAUUAUAUAUAUGUAUAAAUUGGGAGAAACAAGAUACAAUCAUUCAACAAAAUUUGAAGUUUCCCUUUUUCAUGUUCUUGCCCUCAUUAGAUUCCAAAGAGAUGGAGAUUUCUUUGCCUUUAUUUUUGUGAAAGCUAAUAAAAUAUAAGUGAAUAACCCA